rnacentral:rRNA from 1 species
AAUAUUGCACAAGUGGGGGUAAACCCUGAUGCAGCCAUGCCGCGUGUGUGAAGAAGGCCUUCGGGUGUAAAGCAUUCAGUAGGGAGGAAGGUAGUGUAGUUAACACCUGCAUUAUUUGACGUUACCUACAGAAGAAGCACCGGCUAACUCCGUGCCAGCAGCCGCGGUAAUACGGAGGGUGCGAGCGUUAAUCGGAAUUACUGGGCGUAAAGCGCAUGCAGGCGGCCUGUUAAGUCAGAUGUGAAAGACCCGGGCGUUAACCUACGGAAUUGCAUUUGUAAACUGGCAGGCUAGAGUCUUGUAGAGGGGGGUAGGAAUUUCAGGUGUAGCGGUGAAAUGCGUAGAGAUCUGAAGGAAUACCAGUGGCGAAGGCGGCCCCCUGGACAAAGACUGACGCUCAGAUGCGAAAGCGUGGGGAGCAAACAGGAUUAGAUACCCUGGUAG